rfam:Capsicum annuum cultivar Zunla-1 chromosome 12, whole genome shotgun sequence
UGAUGAUGGUGAGGGCAUUUUCUGAGCAUACUUUUAAAUCUCUCCCAAGCUUGGUAGAUAUUUUCUCUUUCUUUCUGCCUAAAAUUUAAAAUCUUACUUCUUAAACA